rnacentral:rRNA from 1 species
UACGUGAGGGGCGAACGUUGUUCGGUGUCACUGGGCUUAAAGGGCGCGUAGGUGGCUGUGCAAGUAAGGUGUGAAAGCCCUCGGCUUACCCGGGGAAUUGCGCCUUAAACUGCAUGGCUUGAGGGAUUCAGGGGAAUGGGGAACUCCAGGUGUAGCGGUGAAAUGCGCAGAUAUCUGGGGGAAGGCCGGUGGCGAAGGCGCCAUUCUGGGAAUUUCCUGACACUGAGGCGCGAAAGCGUGGGGAGCAAACAAG